UAUAUUUUAGUGUAAGAUGCACAAUAGUUUUUGAAACUUUAAGAUAUAGUUUAAUUCUAUAAUAUAUAU
rnacentral:tRNA from 1 species